AGAGGUGGCAGGUUGAAGGGAUAAUAACAGAAAACGUAGGAAUUUUCCCAAAUAUCAACAGUCAGAACAUAAUAGACAUCAAACAAACUGGCAGAAUAUACUGCUCAGACCUCAGAAACCCUUACACAGUUCUGUGUCUCCAGAAACCCUCAUCCUGCUCCACCCACCCCCUUCUAAACAAAUGAGGUAGACUGACAGGAGGAGAAUAGGUAGCAAGGUUUUUGUAUUGAUGCCUAAGACGGUGCUAUAACAGCACAGCUUGUCUUUGGAACCGGGACUCAACUCACUGUGGAACCAAGAAUUCAGCCUCCUUCCAAACCAUCCGUUUUUGUCAUGAAAAAUGGAACAAAGGUUGCUUGUCUGGUGAAGGAUUUCUAUCCCAAGAGUGUAAAUAUAAAUCUCAGGUCAUCUAAGAAGGUAGUAGAAUUUGACCCUGCUGUCGUCAUCUCUCCCAGCGGGAAGUACAGUGCUGUCAAGCUUGGUCAGUAUGAAGAUCCAAAUUCAGUAACAUGUUCAGUUCAACUCAAUAAUGAAACCGUGAGCUCCACUGACUUCGAAAUAAAGACAAAUUCAUCUGAUGUUCUAAGGCAAAUAGAACCUACAAACAUGACACAAACUGAAAAGAGCUGCCAUGAACCAAAAGUUUACUCCCUGAAGAUGAACAUGAUGUCUCUCACAGUGCUUGGGCUGCGAAUGCUGUUUGUCAAGAGUGUUGCCAUCAAUUUUGUCCUGACUGCCAAGUUAUUUUUCUUUUAAGGCUGACUGACAUGAGGAAGCUACGCUCACUGAUGGAAACCAAAAGUUUAAAAGAUGUUGUCUCCUUGGCUUCUGACUUCUUGGCUAUUCAAAUCGACAUGUCACCAUUCUAUUUAAAUGGCUGCUAACCAAAUCAGUUUUUCUCUAAAGGCAGCAAACCCCGCUCAUCCUCUAGUCUGGCAGAAAAACAAACAUCCUGGGUCCUGGGCAGUGGGGGGUUAAGGUCCUAACUACUUUAUGUGCUGCUUUAUAAAGGGAUGGAUGGACAUAAAAAUAUAGGGCCCAUUUUAUUUUACUCCUACAACUGAUACACGUUGACAAAUAAUCCUUCAUUCUUUUUCACUUUCUUUCUCUCCCAAAGUAGGACGUGGGAACUCACAGGUACCCUGCUCCAAUCUCCAUGAGGAAAGCUGGCCCUGAGAGGAGGAGAGGAGAGCAGGUCCUUUCAUCUACAUGAGGAAGGUUCUGCCCCACCCAGCUCUAGAUGCAUCCAGCAGCCUCCCUCAUCCUCCUGACCCAUGGCUUGUCCCAGCCUCUAUGUCCAGUCCACAGCCACACUAGAGAUGUUGAACAGCAACGUGGGAGAGAGGGACAAUUUUAGCACUUUCAGCUUUUCCUAGUACUUCACAAAAUUACUUAUCACUGCCCUAAUACUCUCCAACCAGGCAAUGGGGUUUCUCAAAUCUCAUCUAAGCACUGCCCAUUCUAUUAGAAAAGACCAGAGUGAAAUACAGAGGAAAGUUAAUUGGUUUAACAUGCAUCAACUGACUCUGAGUCCCAGACACUGUACUGAGGAUGAGAAGAAGAACAGGACAUGGGUCCCAUUUUCAAGCAACUCACUGUGCAAGCACUUUUAGAGGAAGGGAGAGAAAUGAGGCUUCCAUCUUUCCCCAUAAAAACAGUAUCUUUACUGUCUUUCACCUGCCAAUCUGUACACAGGGAGUUAGAGAUCACUGGACACAGAUUCUUUUGCCUGGGCCCUUGAUGUUGAUGGUUUUAGGCCUUCUUUCUUAGCCCUUGUCUCUGUUGCAUUUAUUAAACUGCACUGUGUGCAC